rnacentral:lncRNA from 1 species
GCUCCGCCACCCUCCCUCUCGGCCCACCGCUGCCCCUCAGGAGGGGCCGGUCCAGCGCCCUCCUGGCCGCGCUUCCCAGCCACGAAGGAGGCACUGCCGUCCUUGGAGAGCCACCGUCCACGCCCACCCGGCCUGCAAGUCUCAGCAGAAGGUCCCGCCCUCGGGAGGAGUCAAGGAAUGUUCUGGAAGCUGAGGAGACCUGGAGACUGAGCCAGGCCCCCACGGAGGAUCGGGGUGGGAGCGAGACAGGCAGUGCCAAGGACCCCUCUGCCCGGGGACGCUGGAUCCCUCGUUCCACACAGUGACGCCUUCCUCCGGCCCAGCAUUCCCAGCACCCAGGGCACAGCAGAUGGCUCUCAGCUCUGCACCCCAACACUGGGAGCCAGCAGGCCCCUGAACUGAAGGUCAGCACCUGCUGAGGGCUCUUCUGCCUGCAGGUAGCAUUCACAGAGAAACACACAAGUCCCAGGAUGUGUUACAUCUGAUGGUUUUCAUAUGCUAAGGAACCCUGACCAUCCUGAGACAAAUCCUACGGGUGAUGCUGUGCGAUCCACUCCAUGAGUGACAAAGCC